UACGGAGGGGGCAAGCGUUACUCGGAAUUAUUGGGCGUAAAGGGCGCGUAGGCGGCCACCGCAAGUCGACUGUGAAAUCUCCGGGCUUAACCCGGAAAGGUCAGCCGAUACUGCGGGGCUAGAGUGCAGAAGGGGCAACUGGAAUUCUCGGUGUAGCGGUGAAAUGCGUAGAUAUCGAGAGGAACACCUGCGGCGAAGGCGGGUUGCUGGGCUGACACUGACGCUGAUGUGCGAAAGCGUGGGGAGCAAACAGG
rnacentral:rRNA from 1 species